rnacentral:rRNA from 1 species
AGCAGUCGCCGCGGUAAUACGUAGGUGGCAAGCGUUGUCCGGAAUUAUUGGGCGUAAAGGGCUCGCAGGCGGUUUCUUAAGUCUGAUGUGAAAGCCCCCGGCUCAACCGGGGAGGGUCAUUGGAAACUGGGAAACUUGAGUGCAGAAGAGGAGAGUGGAAUUCCACGUGUAGCGGUGAAAUGCGUAGGGAUGUGGAGGAACACCAGUGGCGAAGGCGACUCUCUGGUCUGUAACUGACGCUGAGGAGCGAAAGCGUGGGGAGCGAACAGGAUUAGAUACCCCCGUAGUCCCUGUCUCUUAUAC